UGACAUUGCUCUACUUUUGGUGAAUCUUCCCCUUCCUUCUGCUGCAUCAUUAAGGAAGUGGUAUGUCCAAGUUUGGUGAUUUUCUUUUUUUUUUUCCUUUUUUCUUUACUUUGUCUCUUUUGUUAUGAUCUUGACUCUUUUUUCUGAUCCUUUGUUAAUUGCAUUUUGGCUUCAGAAAAUUUGGGUUUGGAAACUAAGAACACAGGUAAAGGUAAAAAACAAAAACAAAAAAAUCUAUUGGUAUCAAUAUUUUAGAGGUUUCCUUGCAAUUUAUAUCAUUUAGUAUCUCAAUGCACUUAUGGGCAACAACGACUGAAAAUCUAAAUUAUGAAAUAAUAAUAUUCAAUGCACUUUCUCAUGAAGAUGUUACUAUUAUGAACUGAUUAAAAGAAUACUGCAUCUAUCUUUCCUUAUUCAGUUUCCAUAUGUGAUGUAGAGGCCUUACAUGAGCUCUUUAGGAAAGCAAGUAACUCAGUUAUUCCAAAUGGACUUAUUCACAAGGAAGAAUUCUAGCUUGCACUCUUCAAGGAUAGAAACAGAAGGAAUUUGUUUGUUGAUAGGGUGCUGGGUGUCGAUGAGCUCUUUUUUGCUUCUUUCUUUGAUUAUAUGUUCUAGACAUUCAGAUUGUGUCCUCAUCCAAGGGGAUGAGCACCAGAUACGCAUCUUUAAAAUGGCGCUUCUUUGUGUAUGAAGACACAAUCAUGGCUGUUUAAUGCAGAGCCAGAGUGAUGAUGACUAUUCAACACCUCCUCUACUUGCUGUCUUCCUAGCCUUAUCACGACUUUUCCAUCAAAACCAAUGUUCCAUUAGAUUCUUCCUGUACUAAUUAUACCAUUUAUCCAAGCUUCAUUCUCUUCUUCCAAGAAUAGUCAGGAAACUUCAAGUAGGGAAAAUGAUUUCGUUCCAUUGAAAUGCAACCAUCAAGCGAGAAACAAAAGUGCUCCAUCAUCUGUUGUAAAUUAUGUAAAUGGUUUUGCAGUCUUACUUGUAUUAUGUAUUAUUAUUGCACCUAUUUGUUUGUA